rnacentral:rRNA from 1 species
GGACCCGCACAAGCGGUGGAGCAUGUGGUUUAAUUCGAUGCAACGCGAAGAACCUUACCAGGGUUUGACAUCCUGCGAAUCUCUUGGAAACGAGAGAGUGCCUUCGGAACGCAGUGACAGGUGGUGCAUGGCUGUCGUCAGCUCGUGUCGUGAGAUGUUGGUUAAGUCCCGCAACGAGCGCAACCCACGUCGUUAGUUGCCAGCAUUAGUUGGGCACUCUAGCGAGACCGCCGGUGAUAAAACCGGAGGAAGGUGUGGAUGACGUCAAGUCAUCAUGCCCCUUACAUCCUGGGCUACACACGUACUACAAUGCUACGGACAAAAGGGCUGCAAAGUUCGCGAGGACAAG